rnacentral:piRNA from 1 species
UGUAUGAGUUUAGAGGUUUAUAGG